rnacentral:lncRNA from 1 species
AACAACCAACAAGCGCAUCAAUUACAACAAACAUCAACGCCGGCCACCGCCAAAUCCGAUGAACCACCCAAUUUCGGCAAAGAACCCGAUCGACCCGUCUCCGAUCCGACCCGACAACAAAAUCAACUGUUACGGUUUUUGCCCUGAUUUUCUUACUAUAUUUAAGUUUAUUUUUUCUUAGAAGGAAAAUAAAAGUUACUAUAAUUACUUUUACUUUUCUUGAAAUAAAAAAUAUAAUUCUUUUCCAUAUUUGGCUAAUCUCUUUCUUGGAGGAAAGGUUUUGGACAUCUAUAAAUAGAAGACCCCCUUCUCAUACCAUAACAUAAUAGCAUCCACGAUAUAGUUUUUUAAGAAUUUUAUUUAGGGGGAGAUUUUCUCUCUAAUAGUUUUUAUGUUUUCUUUUAUAUUAGAUUUUUAUAUGUAGGCCAAUUGGCCAAAUUAUAUAAUAAUCAUGCUUUUAGUAUGUUUUUCUUUUUGUCUGAAUUAUCGCAUUUAUGGUUUACAAUUUUAAGCUUCCGCAUGACGCCCUCUCGAUUUCGAACCCAACAAGUGGUAUCAAAGUUACGGUUUAAUGAUCCAAUGGUGUGGUGAGAUGAGAUUAAAAAGGUUCAAAGCGGUUUCAAAAUCAAGCUGCAACCAAUUUGAUGAUAAAGAAGAUAUAUGUCCAAAAGCUACAUGUGGAGAUAAUUGUCAAUCAUAUUUUCAACAAUCAUGCUAUCACAUAUUUGAAAAUAAAGCUCACUUUUAAUCCUGCAAAAGGUCUCCAAUAUUUUUAACCUGAAAAGGGCUAAUAUAUUUUUUAACCUCAAAAGGUUCAUUUUAAAACAUGCCAAACAACAGUGAUAUAUGAAGAAUAUAUAUAAAGAACGAAGAUCAUGGACAAGAAGAAGGAGGAUCAAGAAUAUUUUGAAGAAAAUCAAGCUAAAAGGGGAGAUUUGUUAGGGUUUUGCCUUGAUUUUCUUACUAUAUUUAAGUUUAUUUUUUCUUAGAAGAAAAAUAAAAGUUACCAUAAUUACUUUUACUUUUUCUAAAAGAAAAAAUAUAGUUCUUUUCCAUAUUUGGCUAACCUCUAUCUCGGAGAAAAGGUUUUGGAUAUCUAUAAAUAGAAGACCUCUUCUCAUACUAUAACACACUAACAUUCACGAUGUAGUCUUUUAAGAAUUUUAUUUAGGGGGGAUUUUCUUUCUAAUAAUUUUCAUGCUUUCAGUUAUAUUACGUUUUUAUAUUUAGGCCAAUUGGCCAAACUAUAUAAUAAUCAUAUUUUUAGUAUGUUUUUCUUUUUGUCUGAAUUAUCGCAUUUAUGAUUUGCAAUUUUAAGCUUCUGCAUGAUAUCCUCUCGAUUUCGAACCCAACAUCAGCAAUAUUCCUUAAAUCACGGAAACACAUCUCUCUCCAUCUUAUCUCACCUAGGGCCAUCCUUUUUUACCUUUGCUUGAGAUUGUGUAUUUCCAAACCCAAAAUCCAAUCCAAGUCAGAGGUCAUAAAUUCAAAUCCGAAUUUAUGGGAUAUGUUUCUAUCCCUUGUUAAUUUUUUCAAAUUUUCAACCACUCUCUGUCAAAAAGACAGAAUUUCUUUUGAAUUGUUGAUAAUUUUUUUUCAACUGUAAAGAGGCACUCAUGCUUCCAUUAAAAGGGGGGAAAUUUUUGGAGUUUUGAUGACACUUUUUGACUUACAACAGUUCUCUAUUUUCUUUGUUCGAUUUACUCACACCACUCUCAUUGUUUAUUUUCGUCAUUCGAACUCGGAGUCAGAAUCCGUGGUGGAAUCGCUCUUCGGCUUGUCGUCUUAGUUCGCUGCCAUAAAAAGGGUAAAUAACAUCUCCUUACUCGUCUAUUCUAUUUCGCCAAAUUUUUAUUAUUUGUUGUUGUCGGUAGGAGUUGUCAGAUUGUACGUUUGGCCGAGGACCUAUGGGUCUAGCUUAUAUUUUUUUUUCUUUUAGGCUUUGUUUUUAUUUUCGAUACGCUGACCAUUUGGUAGAGAUUUUUAUGAAAUAGCUCCUUAUGGUUAACAUUGUUUGGUAGAGAUUUUUAUGAAAUAGCUCCUUAUGGUUAACAUUGUUUCGGGUUAGUUCGGUUAACUUUAUUUGAGUAAAAUGGCUGGAUGUUCUAUUUUCUUAUUCACUGCUUGCUAUUUGGUUGGUUAAUUUUGAUAUAGUAGAGGGAUUUUCUUGCGAACAUUAAGGUGAAAUGGCGAACAUCUUAUGGCGUUCAUUGCUUUACGCCUACCUUUUAUCCAUAAAGUACUCAAAUAUUUCCCCACGCUUUACUCUCAUUUUUGGAUUAAAAAAAGUACGAAUCGUUUUUUUUUGUUGAAAAUCACAAUUAUUAGAGUUGGUUAAAUUUACGUUGAAGCCAUAUGUUAGGAAGAGUACAUAUUGUUUUUUUUUUUUGUUGUUGUUGAGAAUCCCCAAGGGAGAAACAAUAUGCUGUGCAGUCUUAACUUAGCUAUAUUGGUAACAUUUUUUGAAAAUUGGAUGGUUGUGACAGUUAGUUGUUGUUAGAUAUCCUUACAUUCUCCCCACCCCUUUUGUAUUUGCUAUCUAUUUUUGGAACAAGUCUUUCACACUAAUUUGGUUCUUGAGUGAGCAUGCGCUCACGUAAAUCUCACAUCCGAAGUGCUCCCAAAUUAAUUAGUAAUUUUCCAUUUAGUGGUUGCCUUAAAGGUCGUUCAAUAUGCAGUUUAUGUGGUAUUUAUCCGUUUUCCUUUAGCAUAACACUAAUUUCAUUACUUUAUCACUAAUAGUUAUAUCUCCUUUUCUAUGCAUGAAAUCCCUCCUCGAGUCCAUCGGACUCCCAUAUCUUGCAUUCGGUUGAGUUAAACCCAUCUUCCAUAGAGUCAAGACCCAUGCCAAGACCGAAAAGGAGACUAAUGUGCAAGAAAAAGGGCUGGUAUACAACUGUAUACUCUGAUAUACAGAUGAUAUACACUCGCAGGCAGCAGCUGCAUGUUGUACCGUGGUUCAUGGUGGAAAAUGGAGUCGAAAUACACAGCUUACCGCACUGAUAUACAUCGUAUACGCGGUGGUAUACAGAAAAACACAGCAAAGGAGUUGCUGAUAUACAGCAGAUAUACAGGGACGAAAGAUGGGCUAAAGUCCAUGAAUUUGGUCCAAAAUUGGACAGAUUUUUAAUGGGCCAAAAAGGGGCCCAAUUCUCACUUUUUUCUCUUUUAUCAUCCAUUCUAACUUAUUUAUUUGUAUUUAUUUGAACAUUUUAAUCAAUUAAUCUAAAUAAAUCCCCCAAGAUAUCUUCAUUUCUCUUUUAUCUUCAUUUUUCCCUUCGUUACUUGAAUUUUUAUUUAUUUAUUUAUGUAUUAUUAUUAUUAUUAUUAUUAUUAUAAAUGAAAUAAAAUAGACUUUACGUUAAUCUUUUUGAACACAAAUCUCUUC